GAGUUUGAUCCUGGCUCAGAUUGAACGCUGGCGGCUAUGCCUUACACAUGCAAGUCGAACGGCAGCACGGGAGCUUGCUCCUGGUGGCGAGUGGCGAACGGGUGAGUAAUGCAUCGGAACGUAUCCUGGAGUGGGGGAUAACGUAGCGAAAGUUACGCUAAUACCGCAUAUUCUGUGAGCAGGAAAGCGGGGGACCUUCGGGCCUCGCGCUCUUGGAGCGGCCGAUGUCGGAUUAGCUAGUUGGUGAGGUAAAGGCUCACCAAGGCGACGAUCCGUAGCAGGUCUGAGAGGAUGAUCUGCCACACUGGAACUGAGACACGGUCCAGACUCCUACGGGAGGCAGCAGUGGGGAAUUUUGGACAAUGGGGGCAACCCUGAUCCAGCCAUGCCGCGUGAGUGAAGAAGGCCUCGGUUGUAA
rnacentral:rRNA from 1 species